GGGACACGUGGUAUCCUGUCUGAAUAUGGGGGGACCAUCCUCCAAGGCUAAAUACUCCUGACUGACCGAUAGUGAACCAGUACCGUGAGGGAAAGGCGAAAAGAACCCCGGCGAGGGGAGUGAAAAAGAACCUGAAACCGUGUACGUACAAGCAGUGGGAGCACCUUCGGGUGUGACUGCGUACCUUUUGUAUAAUGGGUCAGCGACUUAUAUUCUGUAGCAAGGUUAACCGUAUAGGGGAGCCGCAGGGAAACCGAGUCUUAACUGGGCGUUAAGUUGCAGGGUAUAGACCCGAAACCCGGUGAUCUAGCCAUGGGCAGGUUGAAGGUUGGGUAACACUAACUGGAGGACCGAACCGACUAAUGUUGAAAAAUUAGCGGAUGACUUGUGGCUGGGGGUGAAAGGCCAAUCAAACCGGGAGAUAGCUGGUUCUCCCCGAAAGCUAUUUAGGUAGCGCCU
rnacentral:rRNA from 1 species